UUAGUACACACUGCUGUUCUGUGAGGUCACAGAUAGGGAAUUUUGAGACCAUUCUUAGGGUGCUGUCACCAGGAUCCUGUUUGGAUCUGAGACUUGGAGAUCUGCAUCUGAUGAGCCUAAAUGUUGACAGAGAAUGAGAGAAAAUAGGAGCCCAGAGAACUAAAGACUGAGGACAGAUGCUCUGUUCUGGACCCAACCCCUUGUUUCUAGCUCCUCUGAUCUACUGACCAGACUGCUUAAAUUGAAGGAUCCAUUUUAGUCAAGAUGAGAUAGCUGAGAGCAUUGCCAAUAUGGAAAAGAAUCUCAUUGUCACGCAGGAAGGAUGGAGAGACCUUGGAGACUGUGGCAGAAGCAGUAUGAGAUAUUGUAACUCACGGAGGCUGUUCUGACCUGGAACAAGGCAUCCUAAUUGGCACUGCUCUUCGGCACAUCUUCAGAGCUUUGUAUUUAGCCCCCAGACCUCAAGUGCAGCAACCAAGGAUAACAGUGGCAAGCAAAGACAUCCUUGAUGUGUUUGCAGAAUGCUUACGUGCAGGCACUAUCGAAUAAAUCUAUAAAGAAAGAUGUUUUUUGUUCAGUAAAAUGAAGUGAACUCUUGCUGAGAUCCCACAGAGAUGGGUCGUGGUUCCCACUGCUUCUCAGUGGUUAGAGGGGGGAUCUAUUUUUCACAGUAUGCAGGCACCAGAGAGUGUAUCCAGUUCAAAGGCUGUAACGUAAAUCUCUUUUUCCACUGGGGUUGUUAACAUAAUGAAAUAUUCAUUUAUAGCACAUAUUGGCAAAUAAAGGCUUGACAUAAAGUGAUUCACCCCCAGCGCGUUCCAUUUAAUGUGAUUAUUCUUCAGAGUAAUCAAGACUCCUUUGCCUAAGCCGAUGUGUGCCCAUGCACACCUGCAGUGGAUAUUGAUUUACUGGGGAGCUGCAUCUCCAAGCGUGCUUGUUUUUAACCCCUUUUCCCUGCUAUGUGUGCCUUCCUCAUGAGACAGGAUGGUGGAGGGAUAGCUGCAAUGUGUAUUCUCUGCACAGCUGUGCCCUUGAGUUCAAGCUCACACGCUCCACAAACUGCCCUCAACAGCUUUAUAGGCAAUUUCAGAACGAGCAUGUGGACCCUUGCAUGUCUUGAAAUAAGAGCAAUGCUUCCCCCCUCAGCAGCUCCACUCUGAGAGGCUUUCUUAUUCAGAAAUAACGUGGGUUAUACAGAAAGUGACUGCAAAGAGGCUGACCUCCCUGUCCUCUGUCCCUGGUGGGCACACUUGGCCUUCUCCUGGUCGAGCCCAAGCGAAGGGAAGCCCCUUCCUGCACAUGAUGACCCACUACGGCCCUGUGCCAAUCUGUUUUAUUAGCAAGCCUUGCUCGAGGCCCUGAUAAGCUGCUGCAGUCAGCAAGAUACCAAUGGUCCCAGCUUGUGGCAGAGCUGUGGGCAGGACUGAUCUCGGCAUUAAGAACCGCAAGGACGCAGAGGAACACGGCUGAUGUUUCCAGACGUUCAUCUCUUGCCCAAUCCUUGCUCUGCCUGCCUGUUGUGCCACGCUGGCCCAGCUUCUCUCCCAUUUCCCUGCAGGGGAAGGGUCACAGCGGUGACAGCUGCACAAAAGCAAGCUUGUGACUGUGACACAUUUUUUGUUAGUCAGCAGCAACCGGCUCAUGUUUCAAACUGGCCAAAGCAACCAGUCUCGGCCUCUAAAUAUUUACAGGGGAGACAGGAAAUGGGAGCAAAGCCAGCUAAAAGGACAGGCUUAGAUAGGGCUUUGGGUUGUGUGGGGGGGUGUUGUAGGGAGAUUUUAGGCAUGUGCAGGGGAUGCUGA